CGAGCUAUCGUCUAACGGUUAGGACAUUAGAUUUUCACUCUAAGAAUGCCAGUUCGAAUCUGGCUAGCUUGA
rnacentral:tRNA from 1 species